rnacentral:rRNA from 1 species
GAUGAACGCUGGCGGCGUGCCUAAUACAUGCAAGUCGAGCGAACAGAUGAGGAGCUUGCUCCUCUGACGUUAGCGGCGGACGGGUGAGUAACACGUGGAUAACCUACCUAUAAGACUGGGAUAACUUCGGGAAACCGGCGCUAAUACCGGAUAAUAUAUUGAUCCGCAUGGUUCAAUAGUGAAAGACGGUUUUGCUGUCACUUAUAGAUGGAUCCGCGCCGCAUUAGCUAGUUGGUAAGGUAACGGCUUACCAAGGCGACGAUGCGUAGCCGACCUGAGAGGGUGAUCGGCCACACUGGAACUGAGACACGGUCCAGACUCCUACGGGAGGCAGCAGUAGGGAAUCGUCCGCAGUGGGCGAAAGCUUGACGGAGCGACGCCGCGUGAGUGAUGAAGGUCUUCGGAUCGUAAAACUCGGUUAUUAGGGAAGAACAAAUGUGUAAGUAACUAUGCACGUCUUGACGGUACCUAAUCAGAAAGCCACGGCUAACUACGUG